UUUACAUUUUUAAUAAUAUAAUGUGGCAACUCUAGAAUUUAGAUUUUCUAGAGUUUGUUGUUACUGUUGUUUGCAUAGUGAUUUUUCUGAAGUAAUUCUGUGAAGUCUAUAUUGUCUGUUGUGUGUGGCCACUGCUUGGUUAGCUUAGUGGUCAGUUAAUGACUGGACAGAGGUUUUAUUAAAUCAUUGGAACUGAUGCGUCUUCCAGUCUUUGCUGGGUGAUGUAUAUAAUUUUAUAUGUUUUCAUUCUUCUAGGGCUAUUUUAGAGUCACUUGCUGAAACACGUCUAUUGCAGAGCACCGAAGACAAACCAGAGCUACUCUCACAGCCCUAAACCUGGGGGGACCGUUUACAACACAAUGAAGCCAGCUCCUCUAGGGUCUUCCCUCGCUGCUCAGGCUCCUCUCUACCAAGAUCCAAGAAAAGUGACAGGUGCACCCUGCAGCCAGCACAGCAUGCAGGCCCUGAAGACCAGAGCUAUCUCAGCAGGACAGGUGGCUCAGGCACCAGGACACACAUCGCUGGAAAAUUAGAUUUGAGGAUCAGCUACAAUGUCCAUGCCUCCCAGGGAGCCUGUGUUCCCAGCCAGACCCCCCCCCCCCCCCCACCCAGCAUGGACCAAAGAUUUCAGGUACCUCCGGCUCUCCUCCUCACUGCCCAGGCUCUUUCUGUGAGGAUAUGUCUUUUCUAGUCCUCCAGAAAGUCCUCUUCCAUCUCCUCCUAAGAGGGAAAUUUCUCUCAAAGGAAAAUGCUAGUUCAUGUAGAGAAAAUCUUUUAAUUCUCAUGAUAGCACAGCCUUCAAAGAGGAUAGUCUCUGUUUCUC